ACUCCUACGGGAGGCAGCAGUGGGGAAUAUUGGGCAAUGGACGCAAGUCUGACCCAGCAACGCCGCGUGAAGGAAGAAGGCUUUCGGGUUGUAAACUUCUUUUAGCAGGGACGAAAAAAAUGACUGUACCUGCAGAAUAAGCUCCGGCUAACUACGUGCCAGCAGCCGCGGUAAU
rnacentral:rRNA from 2 species